UUAUAGUCAUUCGACUGCGCGGUCAGACGGUUUAAUACUGAUUUCAAAAGAGUUUCCUGGGUGCCAUCGGCAGGCUGACCCUCCCCGCGGACGGGGAGGAGCUGCCGAAGCGACAGGGGGUUUUCACAAAGGGUCUACCGUCCAUGCCGGCACCCGGGUUGGGCACCGACACUUCGAGCGGGCCUCUCGGCCGUGGAUUAAGUAAUGAUCCUUCCGCAGGUUCACCUACGGAAA
rnacentral:misc_RNA from 1 species